CGGGCCUGGGUCCGACGGUAGUGGGUAGCGGGUCUCGGGUUGCGGCUUGCAGGUUGCAAGCCGCAGGCCCCAGGCAACUGCCUUCCCGGCGCCAUGUUCGGCUCCAGUCGUGGAGGCGUGCGCGGCGGGCAGGACCAGUUCAACUGGGAGGACGUGAAGACUGACAAGCAGCGGGAGAACUACCUGGGUGGGUGCGCGCGGUGGGCGGGCUCCGGGCUCCGGGAUCCCGGGUGGGCGCUGGACUCACAGCGUCUACGUCCGCAGGCAACUCGCUGAUGGCGCCGGUAGGCCGCUGGCAGAAGGGCCGCGACCUCACCUGGUACGCCAAGGGCCGGGCGCCAUGCGCGGGCCCGAGCCGCGAGGAGGAACUGGCAGCCGUGCGGGAGGCGGAGCGAGAGGCGCUGCUGGCCGCCCUUGGCUACAAGAACGUGAAGAAGCAGCCCACGGGCCUGAGCAAGGAGGACUUCGCGGAGGUCUGCAAGCGGGAAGGAGGCGACCCCGAGGAGAAGGGCGUGGACCGGCUGCUGGGGCUGGGGAGCGCCAGUGGCUCCGUGGGCCGCGUGGCGAUGUCCCGAGAGGACAAGGAGGCCGCCAAACUGGGGCUGUCUGUAUUCACGGUAAUCCCCCGCCCCGCCUGACCGCAGCAGGGGCCAACAGGGGUGGGGCGGGGGCACUAAACGGAGCUCCCCGGGGCGCUGCGGGGCGUGGUGUGGGGCCGGUCCGCAGACUCCUCCCCAGAGCUCGCUUCUUCCGCAGCAUCACCGCGUAGAGAGCGGCGGGCCCGGGACCUCGGCAGCCUCGGCCAGGAGGAAGCCGCGGGCGGAGGAUCAGACGGAAAGCAGUUGUGAGAGCCACAGGAAAAGCAAGAAGGAGAAGAAGAAAAAGAAAAAGAGGAAACACAAGAAAGAGAAGAAGAAGAAAGACAAAGAGCACAGGCGGCCAGCUGAGGCCACCUCCUCUCCCACAUCUCCUGAGAGGCCCAGGCACCACCACCAUGACUCCGACUCCAACUCCCCCUGCUGUAAGAGGAGGAAGCGGGGACACAGUGGGGACAGGAGGAGCCCGUCUCGCAGGUGGCAUGACAGAGGCUCUGAGGCCUGAUGGCUGGACCCUGCUCACUGCUAUUGUGGGACCCUGAACCCUCCCUUCACCUUGUUUGCCUCCUGCCUCAGAAGCUCCUCGGGUGUGGGUGAAGCCCGAGGCUGCUCCUGUGGAAAUGGCUCUGGGCAUCAGCCUGUGGGGCUAAAGACUUGACAGCUAGCUCUGGAGCAGCCGGCUUCCUGGAAAACCUCCAGGUUUCGCAUACCAGGGAUGGCCCCUGGCUUGGCCUGCGAAGGUGAACCUGCCCAGAUUUAUUAGUAGAGGCUGGACUCCCUCUGUGUCCUGCCCAUGGUUGCAGCAGCCAUGGGCCUAUGAGCGGUCUAACUGUGGCCAAGUAUGGUGACCUCUAUUUUUCUUUAUAUUGACUCUUUGUAUUUCAAUAAAUAUAUUUUAAAAGGAA
rnacentral:sRNA from 1 species